CCCUCGCCUCCUCGACCUCCUUCUCUGGUCUGCGGAAUGGAGGCAACAAGCCGGGCCGGCCCACCGCACGGGACUGCUGAGGAAGGAGAAAAUGAUUGUGUGAAUCUGUAGAAACCGGAAGGAUAAGACACAAGUCUGAAAAUUAUUCAAUUAAAGGAAGGAAGAUUGCAGACUGCUUAGUCACCUGAAGAGAGAGAGUGGAGCUUACAAAAUGAGAUGAUUACAUCACUUAAAUUGACUCUGAAAGAAACUCCAGCAGAGAAGUUCCAGAAAAGCAUUGAGCAAAACAGCAUUUUUGGAAUGAGUUUUGGAUAAGUUUUUGUAUGUUUAAACCAGCUUUGUUGCUUUGUAAUCACACCUCAUUUCCGUGGAAAGUAUGAUGCAAAAC